CGAGGCUAUACAAUCGCAAAGAGGAGGAGCAGGAGGAUGAAAAGGAGUUCAAAGGAGAACUGCAAUCUGAUUGACUCCGAGUAAUGUCGAAAAGCGUUUAUCGCUCGACUGAAGGGAGCGCAUCCUCUGGGAGAAAUUUCAUUAGCUGAAGGAAACUUUUCAACAGGAUGUACCAAAAGACGUGGAGGCGAAAGGGACUAAAAGUUGAAUUUCAGCACAUUCCCUGUGUUUGUCAGCGAGUCGCUUCCGCUAGAAAGAGUUUCGCGAAUAUCGGACCC